rnacentral:rRNA from 1 species
CGGGAGGAGCUGGCCAACCUGGAUCAGCUGGAGGGCGGCGCCGCCUCCGUGCGCGGGCACGAGACUGAGGAGCAGCGCAACAAGUUCCUCGUGCUCCGCCUCUACGAGGCGCUCAACAACCGCGACCACGCCGCCGUCCACUCCCUCCUCGCGCCGGACCUCGAGUGGUGGUUCCAUGGCCCGCCCGCGCACCAGCACAUGAUGCGCCUCCUCACCGGCGGCACCUCACCGUCCUUGUUCCGCUUCCAGCCGCGCUCCGUCGACGCCUUCGGCUCCACCGUCAUCGCCGAGGGCGUGGACGACAAGGCCAAGGCAUACUGGGUGCACGCCUGGACCGUGGGCGGCGAUGGGGUGAUCACCCAGCUGCGCGAGUACUUCAACACCGACCUCACCGUCACGCGCCUCGCCGCCGCCGCCGCGUCCAAGUGCGUCUGGCAGAGCCGCCGCCCCGACCGCGCCCGCAACUCCUUCCCGGGCCUCGUCCUCGCCCUCUAA